rnacentral:rRNA from 1 species
UAUGUGAUCGUCUCUCGCAUAUCAAUAAGCGGAGGAAAAGAAACUAACAAGGAUUCCCCUAGUAACGGCGAGUGAAGCGGGAAGAGCUCAAAUUUGAAAUCUUAAAGGGUUUCCCUUUACGAAUUGUAGUUUAAAGAAGUGUUUUCUGUUGAGGUUUUGGUAAAAGUUCUUUGGAAUAGGACAUCAUAGAGGGUGAGAAUCCCGUAUUUGACCUUUACUUUCAACUUUGUGAUACACUUUCAAAGAGUCGGAUUGUUUGGGAAUGCAGUCCAAAAUGGGUGGUAAAUUUCAUCUAAAGCUAAAUAUUGGCGAGAGACCGAUAGCGAACAAGUACCGUGAGGGAAAGAUGAAAAGAACUUUGAAAAGAGAGUUAAACAGUACGUGAAAUUGUCAAAAGGGAAACGUUUGACAGCCAGUGUUGUUUUUCUGAAAAUCAAUUAAAGAACUGUUUAUGCUAAGCUGUUUAGACUUUAUCAGCUAACUGUUUAGUUUUGAGCUUUUCUUUAAUGCACUUUUCAGUUAACAAGUCAACAUCAAUUUCUUUUGCUGUAAAAAAGCUUGAGGAAGGUGGCUUGAGAUUCGUCUUAAGUGUUUAUAGCCUCUUGCCUAUGCAGUCGGAGAGAUUGAGGUCUGCAGCGUAGAUCCUUCGGGGCUAAAUGCAUUUGUGCUAAGUUAUAGCAUUUUAUAGACAACUUGUUGACUAUGAUUUGUCUUGUAGCUUACUCGCUUAUGUUAUUUUACCUACGCUUAGGAUGUUGAACGCGCACAGAGUCUC